ACGAACGCUGGCGGCGUGGAUAAGACAUGCAAGUCGAACGAGAGAAUUGCUAGCUUGCUAAUAAUUCUCUAGUGGCGCACGGGUGAGUAACACGUGAGUAACCUGCCCCCGAGAGCGGGAUAGCCCUGGGAAACUGGGAUUAAUACCGCAUAGUAUCGAAAGAUUAAAGCAGCAAUGCGCUUGGGGAUGGGCUCGCGGCCUAUUAGUUAGUUGGUGAGGUAACGGCUCACCAAGGCGAUGACGGGUAGCCGGUCUGAGAGGAUGUCCGGCCACACUGGAACUGAGACACGGUCCAGACACCUACGGGUGGCAGCAGUCGAGAAUCAUUCACAAUGGGGGAAACCCUGAUGGUGCGACGCCGCGUGGGGGAAUGAAGGUCUUCGGAUUGUAAACCCCUGUCAUGUGGGAGCAAAUUAAAAAGAUAGUACCACAAGAGGAAGAGACGGCUAACUCUGUGCCAGCAGCCGCGGUAAUACAGAGGUCUCAAGCGUUGUUCGGAAUCACUGGGCGUAAAGCGUGCGUAGGCUGUUUCGUAAGUCGUGUGUGAAAGGCGCGGGCUCAACCCGCGGACGGCACAUGAUACUGCGAGACUAGAGUAAUGGAGGGGGAACCGGAAUUCUCGGUGUAGCAGUGAAAUGCGUAGAUAUCGAGAGGAACACUCGUGGCGAAGGCGGGUUCCUGGACAUUAACUGACGCUGAGGCACGAAGGCCAGGGGAGCGAAAGGGAUUAGAUACCCCUGUAGUCCUGGCAGUAAACGGUGCACGCUUGGUGUGCGGGGAAUCGACCCCCUGCGUGCCGGAGCUAACGCGUUAAGCGUGCCGCCUGGGGAGUACGGUCGCAAGAUUAAAACUCAAAGAAAUUGACGGGGACCCGCACAAGCGGUGGAGUAUGUGGCUUAAUUCGAUGCAACGCGAAGAACCUUACCUGGGCUUGACAUGUAAUGAACAACAUGUGAAAGCAUGCGACUCUUCGGAGGCGUUACACAGGUGCUGCAUGGCCGUCGUCAGCUCGUGUCGUGAGAUGUUUGGUUAAGUCCAGCAACGAGCGCAACCCCUGUUGCCAGUUACCAGCACGUGAAGGUGGGGACUCUGGCGAGACUGCCCAGAUCAACUGGGAGGAAGGUGGGGACGACGUCAGGUCAGUAUGGCCCUUAUGCCCAGGGCUGCACACGUACUACGAUGCCCAGUACAGAGGGGGCCGAAGCCGCGAGGCGGAGGAAAUCCUAAAAACUGGGCCCAGUUCGGACUGUAGGCUGCAACCCGCCUACACGAAGCCGGAAUCGCUAGUAAUGGCGCAUCAGCUACGGCGCCGUGAAUACGUUCCCGGGUCUUGUACACACCGCCCGUCACAUCAUGGAAGCCGGUCGCACCCGAAGUAUCUGAAGCCAACCGCAAGGAGGCAGGGUCCUAAGGUGAGACUGGUAACUGGGAUG
rnacentral:rRNA from 1 species